AAGCUUUUUAGGUGAAGCUUUGUGGGUGAAGCUUUUUAGGUGAAGCUUUUCGGGUGAAGCUUUUUGGGUGAAGCUUUUUAGGUGAAGCUUUUCGGGUGAAGCUUUUUGGGUGAAGCUUUUUUAGGUGAAGCUUUGAUGGUGAAGCUUUUUUGGGUGAAGCUUUUAGGUGAAGCUUUUUGGUGAAGCUUUUUGGGUGAAGCUUUUUGAUGGUGAAACUUUUUUGGGGUGAAGCUUUUUUAGGUGAAGCUUUUGUGGUGAAGCUUUGAGGUGAAGCUUUUCGGGUGAAGCUUUUUGGAUGAAGUUGUUUUUUUUUUUUUUUUUUUUUUUUUUUUUUUUUUUUGGCGCUUGACACGGUCUUCAUUUGCUUGUUUUGUAGUGACUGUGGAAGACAGAUUGCUUUCUGAUUGAGAAGGGUUCCGGCAUCGCUUGCUAUGAAUGUAAAAGAGUGAGGGCUGAGUUGGCUAA
rnacentral:lncRNA from 1 species